rnacentral:rRNA from 1 species
CGAACGUUAGCGGCGCGCUUAACACAUGCAAGUCGUACGAGAACGCUUCCUUCGGGGAGUUAUUAAAGUGGCGCACGGGUGAGUAACACGUGGGUAUCUACCUUUCGGCGGGGGACAACACCUGGAAACGGGUGCUAAUACCGCAUACGUCUGCUUCGGCAGGGAAAGAUGGCCUCUUCUUGAAAGCUAUCACCGGAAGAUGAGCCCGCGACCCAUCAGCUUGUUGGUAGGGUAAAAGCCUACCAAGGCUACGACGGGUAGCUGGUCUGAGAGGAUGAUCAGCCACACUGGAACUGAGACACGGUCCAGACUCCUACGGGAGGCAGCAGUGGGGAAUAUUGCGCAAUGGGCGAAAGCCUGACGCAGCGACGCCGCGUGGGUGAUGAAGGAUUUCGGUUCGUAAAGCCCUGUGGGAGAAGGAAGAACAACCUAGCGGAACAAUACCCGUUAGGUCUGACGGUACUUCUCCAGAAAGCACCGGCUAACUCC